UUAAAUAUUAUUAAAACAUAAAAAUAAAGUUAUUAAGUUCUACUUUUGAAUUUUUUUUUCACAAUGUAUGAGUGUGACUUUAUGUUGACAGUGGAUUCUAUUCAAGAUCAAUAUGAUAAUUUUUCUAUUGAAGAUAAAUUGGGUAUGAAAGUAACAUCUGGGGUUGUAAAAAUUAAUAAGGACCCGAAAACCAAUCGUAUAGGUAUUACAAUAGGUGGAGGACCUCCUUACUGCCCUUGUAUAUACAUUACACAGAUUUUGGAAUAUUCACCAACUGCAUUAAAUGGCGCAUUAGAAAGUGGUGAUGAGCUUUUAGCUAUUAAUGAUGAACGUAUUAGCGGACGUGACAAAAUGCAAGUAGCACAAAUGAUACAAUCAAGUGGUGAUCAAGUAACUUUGAAAUAUAACAAAUUAGAAGCUGAUAUCGAACAAGGAAAAACUAUGGAUAUUUUAGUAAAAAAAAUUAAACAUAGGAUAGUUGAAGGAAUAUCUGCCACUACUGCUGAUUAUUUGGGUAUAUCUCGUGCAAUGCUUGUCAAUGACAGUCUUGUUAAACGCUUACAAGAGCUAGAUAACUUAGAACAAACAUAUCGGUGCUUGGUUGAUCACACAGAAUGUGUACUUGGCGCGUUUUAUGCUCUAACCGAAUGUUAUAAAGAAUUUGGGGACUCGUUUUCAGAAAUAGGUGCUAGGGAACCACAACCUAGAGCUAGUAUGUCUUUAAUGCGCUUUGGUGAGUAUCACAGGCGAAUGGAACGUCAAGGACAAACUCUAAUCAAUGUUUUAAAACUAGCAUCCAAGUCAUUUAGCACAUACCUGAAAAUAGCUAUUCCAGAUACCAAGCAAACAAUACGGAAAUAUGCUGAUGUGAAAUUUGAAUAUUUAUCUUACUGUUUAAAAAUAAAAGAGCUUGAUGAUGAAGAGACUUCUUUAGAUUAUCCUAUACGUCGAAUUUUAACAGGAAAUUAUGAAUACAGGCUGCUAUUGAGAUGCCAACAGUCAGCAAGAAAACGAUUUAUUGCUAUUAGAGAAGACGUAUUAACCAAAAUUGAACUAUUGGAAAGUAAACACGUGCAUGAUAUUGUAGAUCAAUUCCAAUUAAUUGCUUCACAAAUUGUUAAUUUUAAUAAUGAAAUAAGUUGGAUGAUACUUGGAGGGGAUAACGAUACUAAUGAACCACCGCUCUUUCCUAUUGAAAUGGAUUUGAAAUGUACUGCAUUUGAAUAUGAUUCAGUACAGCCAGAAGUUAACUUAGACGACCUUAAUAAUUAAAUUUCAAAUAAUCUAGGAGUAAACAGAAAUUUUCCAAAAAAAAAAAAAACAAAAAAAUUACAACAGAACACUAUUAUUACUACAGAAAUUACUACAAUUUAAUCCUUGGAGACAGAUUAACCAAAUAAUGUUAACCAACGUCCAUUAACAGAAUCUUCCCCUCUGCUUUUAAGACUUAUAAGUUAUAAUUUUAUUUUUUAAGUUAGUUGAAAAUUAUACUUUUUUCUAUUAUUGAUUCAUA